rnacentral:lncRNA from 1 species
CCUCGCGGGAGCAGCGCCCGCCGGCCCGCGGAUGCUCUGAGCGCCCCCGGCGCCCCCGCCUCCCGGGAAGAAGCGGCAGCCCCUCCCCGGGCUCCGCUAGGGCGCUCAGGCGGCCGCCGCGGCCACCUCCCCAUCGCUAGGACCCCGGCCGGCCACGGAGCAGGGGGCCUUCGGGGGCCGGACGUGGUCGCGCGAGACUUGGGCGCUCGCAGAGCCCCGGAGGGGCCGGCCGUGCGGGGCCGCCCUGGCUCUCCCGCCCUUCGCGCUGUCCCGCUGCGCGCCGCCGCCCCCAGGUUGCGGACCGUCGGGCCGCUGCUCCCGCGCAGAGCCGGUCCCCAGGUUAGGCGGACGACGGGCAGGGCUCCCGGGAGAGGGCACCCGGUGUUCGGAGACGGCCCACGCGGAGUCGCCGAGUGUCGGGCCGGCGGAAGCCCUGGGAAGGGCCCCGACGGGACCUCGACGGCCUCACCUGCUGCGGGUCCGCUCGGGACGGCCCGUCCCCGUCUGCCGCUGCCCGCUGUGCGCGCACACCCUCCCCAAGGUAUUUUUAGGUCUGAAAGGAGUCUCUUCCAGGCAACAUAUAGAUGGGUCUUAUAUUUUUAUCCACUCUGGGAAGUAACAGCUCCUAAGCUCCUUAGAUGCUGCACUAAAAACUGCAAGUUGACUGUCUUUUCUUCCUUGUUCAAGCAUUGUUACCACAGUGUUUUGGGCUAAUGUACUGGAAACCUUAAAAACGCAUCAGUUUUUGAAGCCAGAUGAAACUUCAAGUCACAGCCCUGCCACUUACUAUGUGAUUUUGGGGAAAAUACUUAAGUUCUAGGAACCUUUGGUUUUCUUAUCU